GGACCCAAAAAACACCUACUCAGCAGCAGACAAUGGACAAUGAUGACCUCUUCUGGCUGGGUAAGACUAAUUAUGUUCAGGUGUGGGAUAUGGUGAAACACUGAACAACUUCAUCUGACAGCAACAACAACAACUAAAAUCGGCUACAGACUGAGAGAGGAGAACAGCACAGGCCAAAACGAGUCUGGCUCUUCCACUCAACACACACAGGAAGUGCUGACAGACGCCUCAGAGGAGAGAAGCCUGUGCUGCCUACUUUAUCCACUGAUGUCAGAAUAAUCAGCAGUAGCGGGGAGAAGAUCUACAGGGGGAGUUUGGCUGGGCUGCUCUGUCCAGCAGUGAAAAAGACUAGUUGUCCAAAAGUUGAACUCUGCCAAAUAUGUGGAUACCCACCAGGAAGACUAAAGGUAGGGAGAGGAGAGGAAUCAAAGACAAGAAGCAGCUGCAGGAGAUGAGACGGAGCACACAAAGAGAUGGGGCGACUGACUGAUAAGAUGCCGAUUUAUAGCUUGUAUUAAUGACUGUUUUGCUUUGACACACACAUUUUAUACAUAUUGUGGAUCAGAAAAAAAGAACUUUCAUGAGGCGAAUUUUAAAAUAACAGUGUGUCUGUCUAUUCAUUUUGA